AUGUUUAGUUUAUUUAUCAAUCAAUAUUCUCAAUAUUUCAAUGCAUACUAACAGUACUAGCUGUUCAUGUGAGAAUACAAGGUUGCUUGUUUGUAGGAAUGAAUGGUUUAAUAAUAUUUGGUUAUUAUUAGAAAUGUGAUCAAAAUUUAAAAAAAAUGUUUUAUGUAUUGUCACUUAAAAAUAUUGUUGUUAAAGAAAUUUAAGAUCAUAACUUUUGUAGAUAUCAAACAACGAUUUAAUGAUUAAAUGAUUUAAUGAUUAAUUACUGUUUACUUUUUGUCACAGGACAAUUGUCAUUAUUUUACGCAAAAGAAAUUAUCUCUUAAAUAAAGAAUAAUAGAUUUUUAAUUCAUCACAUAUUUUAUUACAUAUUUUUGUAUUCUACCUCUUUUGAUGAAUUAUUUAAUUAGAAUUGUU
rnacentral:lncRNA from 1 species